GACGAACGCUGGCGGCGUGCUUAACACAUGCAAGUCGAACGGAAAGGCCCUGCUUUUGUGGGGUGCUCGAGUGGCGAACGGGUGAGUAACACGUGAGUAACCUGCCCUUGACUUUGGGAUAACUUCAGGAAACUGGGUCUAAUACCGGAUAGGAUCUCCUGCUGCAUGGUGGGGGUUGGAAAGUUUCGGCGGUUGGGGAUGGACUCGCGGCUUAUCAGCUUGUUGGUGGGGUAGUGGCUUACCAAGGCUUUGCCGGGUAGCCGGCCUGAGAGGGUGACCGGACCCAUUGGGAUUGAGAUACGGCACAGACCCCAACGGGAGGCAGAGGUGGGGAAUAGUGCACAGUGGGCGGAACCCAAAUGCAGCAAAGCCGCGUGCGGGAUGACGGCCUUGGGGUUGUAAACCAAUUUCCCCUGUGACGAAGCGUGAGUGACGGUACUGGGUAAAGAAGCACCGGCUAACUACGUG
rnacentral:rRNA from 1 species